CGCGCCCGUGGGUUUGUUUGGGUGUAAAUGCGUUGUGUCGAAUUGUGACUUGUAAUGCGACAGUUAGGAGCUACGGUUCACUGCGGAAGGCCUGAACUACGAGGAAGGAUGUGGCGAUCAUCGAGACCUCUGUUUCACUCCCUCUUGGCCACCAGUUUUCUCAAGAUAGAGGAUCUCCCCAUCAAAAGAAAGAAACCCCACACUCAUGUGGCACAAUGCUACCACCCCAAAGCGCUACUUGGACGGACCAAGGGGGAGACAAAUGCCCAGUGUGCCACCGAGGAAGGGAAGAAGCACGGAGACCAGUCCAUCUGCAGUCAUUAGAAGUGCCCUGUGAAACGAUUCCAGGACCACUGCCAACACGUUUAUUGCACCAUUUAUAGAUGUUGCAUUAUUAUAAGUAUUGCAUGAUUAGUCUGACAGGGAUUUUACAAUGUGGUUUCGAGUAUGAUGCUGGACAAAGUAUAAAUGUGGAACACUUUGUUAUUUUUUCUCUCUCUUUUCUAC